UGCCUAAUACAUGCAAGUCGAGCGAACGGACGAGAAGCUUGCUUCUCUGAUGUUAGCGGCGGACGGGUGAGUAACACGUGGAUAACCUACCUAUAAGACUGGGAUAACUUCGGGAAACCGGAGCUAAUACCGGAUAAUAUUUUGAACCGCAUGGUUCAAAAGUGAAAGACGGUCUUGCUGUCACUUAUAGAUGGAUCCGCGCUGCAUUAGCUAGUUGGUAAGGUAACGGCUUACCAAGGCAACGAUGCAUAGCCGACCUGAGAGGGUGAUCGGCCACACUGGAACUGAGACACGGUCCAGACUCCUACGGGAGGCAGCAGUAGGGAAUCUUCCGCAAUGGGCGAAAGCCUGACGGAGCAACGCCGCGUGAGUGAUGAAGGUCUUCGGAUCGUAAAACUCUGUUAUUAGGGAAGAACAUAUGUGUAAGUAACUGUGCACAUCUUGACGGUACCUAAUCAGAAAGCCACGGCUAACUACGUGCCAGCAGCCGCGGUAAUACGUAGGUGGCAAGCGUUAUCCGGAAUUAUUGGGCGUAAAGCGCGCGUAGGCGGUUUUUUAAGUCUGAUGUGAAAGCCCACGGCUCAACCGUGGAGGGUCAUUGGAAACUGGAAAACUUGAGUGCAGAAGAGGAAAGUGGAAUUCCAUGUGUAGCGGUGAAAUGCGCAGAGAUAUGGAGGAACACCAGUGGCGAAGGCGACUUUCUGGUCUGUAACUGACGCUGAUGUGCGAAAGCGUGGGGAUCAAACAGGAUUAGAUACCCUGGUAGUCCACGCCGUAAACGAUGAGUGCUAAGUGUUAGGGGGUUUCCGCCCCUUAGUGCUGCAGCUAACGCAUUAAGCACUCCGCCUGGGGAGUACGACCGCAAGGUUGAAACUCAAAGGAAUUGACGGGGACCCGCACAAGCGGUGGAGCAUGUGGUUUAAUUCGAAGCAACGCGAAGAACCUUACCAAAUCUUGACAUCCUUUGACAACUCUAGAGAUAGAGCCUUCCCCUUCGGGGGACAAAGUGACAGGUGGUGCAUGGUUGUCGUCAGCUCGUGUCGUGAGAUGUUGGGUUAAGUCCCGCAACGAGCGCAACCCUUAAGCUUAGUUGCCAUCAUUAAGUUGCGCACUCUAAGUUGACUGCCGGUGACAAACCGGAGGAAGGUGGGGAUGACGUCAAAUCAUCAUGCCCCUUAUGAUUUGGGCUACACACGUGCUACAAUGGACAAUCCAAAGGGCAGCGAAACCGCGAGGUCAAGCAAAUCCCAUAAAGUUGUUCUCAGUUCGGAUUGUAGUCUGCAACUCGACUACAUGAAGCUGGAAUCGCUAGUAAUCGUAGAUCAGCAUGCUACGGUGAAUACGUUCCC
rnacentral:rRNA from 1 species